UUAAUUACUCUUCUCUGUGCUCUGACAA
rnacentral:piRNA from 1 species